rnacentral:rRNA from 1 species
UAGAGUUUGAUCCUGGCUCAGGAUGAACGCUGGCGGCGUGCUUAACACAUGCAAGUCGAACGAAGCACUUCAUAAAGUUUACUUUAAGAAGUGACUUAGUGGCGGACGGGUGAGUAACGCGUGGGUAACCUGCCUUACACAGGGGGAUAACAGUUAGAAAUGACUGCUAAUACCGCAUAAAACAGCAGAGUCGCAUGACUCAACUGUCAAAGAUUUAUCGGUGUAAGAUGGACCCGCGUCUGAUUAGCUGGUUGGUGGGGUAACGGCCUACCAAGGCGACGAUCAGUAGCCGGCCUGAGAGGGUGAACGGCCACAUUGGAACUGAGACACGGUCCAAACUCCUACGGGAGGCAGCAGUGAGGAAUAUUGGUCAAUGGACGAGAGUCUGAACCAGCCAAGUAGCGUGCAGGAUGACGGCCCUAUGGGUUGUAAACUGCUUUUAUAAGGGAAUAAAGUGAGUCUCGUGAGACUUUUUGCAUGUACCUUAUGAAUAAGGACCGGCUAAUUCCGUGCCAGCAGCCGCGGUAAUACGGAAGGUCCGGGCGUUAUCCGGAUUUAUUGGGUUUAAAGGGAGCGUAGGCCGGAGAUUAAGCGUGUUGUGAAAUGUAGAUGCUCAACAUCUGCACUGCAGCGCGAACUGGUUUCCUUGAGUACGCACAAAGUGGGCGGAAUUCGUGGUGUAGCGGUGAAAUGCUUAGAUAUCACGAAGAACUCCGAUUGCGAAGGCAGCUCACUGGAGCGCAACUGACGCUGAAGCUCGAAAGUGCGGGUAUCGAACAGGAUUAGAUACCCUGGUAGUCCGCACGGUAAACGAUGGAUGCCCGCUGUUGGUCUGAAUAGGUCAGCGGCCAAGCGAAAGCAUUAAGCAUCCCACCUGGGGAGUACGCCGGCAACGGUGAAACUCAAAGGAAUUGACGGGGGCCCGCACAAGCGGAGGAACAUGUGGUUUAAUUCGAUGAUACGCGAGGAGCCUUACCCGGGCUUGAAUUGCAGAGGAAGGAUUUGGAGACAAUGACGCCCUUCGGGGCCUCUGUGAAGGUGCUGCAUGGUUGUCGUCAGCUCGUGCCGUGAGGUGUCGGCUUAAGUGCCAUAACGAGCGCAACCCCUCUCCUUAGUUGCCAUCAGGUUAAGCUGGGCACUCUGGGGACACUGCCACCGUAAGGUGUGAGGAAGGUGGGGAUGACGUCAAAUCAGCACGGCCCUUACGUCCGGGGCUACACACGUGUUACAAUGGCAGGUACAGAGAGAUGGUCCCUUGCAAAAUGGAUCAAAUCCUUAAAGCCUGUCUCAGUUCGGACUGGGGUCUGCAACCCGACCCCACGAAGCUGGAUUCGCUAGUAAUCGCGCAUCAGCCAUGGCGCGGUGAAUACGUUCCCGGGCCUUGCACUCACCGCCCGUCAAG